CCUACGGGAGGCAGCAGUGGGGAAUAUUGUGCAAUGGGCGAAAGCCUGACGCAGCGACGCCGCGUGAGGGAUGAAGGUCUUCGGAUCGUAAACCUCUGUCAGCAGGGAAGAACGGUCACUGUGCUAAUCAGCAGUGAAUUGACGGUACCUGCAAAGGAAGCACCGGCUAACUCCGUGCCAGCAGCCGCGGUAAUACGGAGGGUGCGAGCGUUAAUCGGAAUUACUGGGCGUAAAGCGCUCGUAGGCGGUAUGUCCAGUCAAGGGUGAAAUCCCCGCGCUCAACGUGGGAACUGCCUUUGAAACUGGCAGACUGGAGUGUGUGAGAGGAUAGUGGAAGUCCAGGUGUAGGAGUGAAAUCCGGAGAUAUCUGGAGGAACAUCAGUGGCGAAGGCGACUAUCUGGCACAUAACUGACGCUGAGGAGCGAAAGCGUGGGUAGCAAACAGGAUUAGAUACCCGAGUAGUC
rnacentral:rRNA from 1 species